ensembl:snoRNA SNORD127 small nucleolar RNA, C/D box 127
AGGCAACGGUGAUGAACAAAAAUGGUGUCUUUAUGUAAUUCCUGUGUUACUUCAUGUAGACAACAGUCCCUCUAAACUGCUGUUACCA